UCUUCUCUCAUACUCUUUGUCGGUUAGGGUUUCUUUUUGUUUCCAUUCGUCUUCUCUCAUACACACUAAUCCUUACCCACUCCAUCUCUCAUAUGAAAACCCUAAAAUUAAUGGAUGAAGUCGCAAAUCCAAUGGGUACAACCAUCUCUUUUGCUGCAUCCGUUAUAUCAAUCAAUUCUGCUCCUCCACCGUCGCCGAUUGAUCUGCACCAUUUUCUUCCACACACAGAAACAACCUUUCUCUUUGGUCCGGAGCAAGAAUAAGGGUUGCCAAGGUUAAUUUCACGUUUGACGAGUCAUCUCUUAAAGCAGUAUCCGUAUACCACUUUGCGAUUAGAUGAUUAGAGCCUGUGAUGGUGGUCUUACAGCAGAUCUAGGGUUUAACGGUGAUUCUAGGCGGCAACUAGGACUCGGGUUAUAGUGCGCGACAGGAAGGAUUUCUUGGUUCACCCAAAAGGCUCCUCAUUGAAGUUGUCAAAUUGUGGUCCAUCAAGAAUGCUACGUAGUUAGAGAUAUGGAUGAUUUCACAUCUUGGGUUUGUAGGACGUGUCAAACACCCGAGGUGAGAGAAUGCCCUCCUUCUCUAUAAAAGGUUAAAAUAGUUAUUUACUCCGUUUUUAAUUUAUUUUCUUUUUCUAUUUUUUUUGUAUCUUGGUUCUACAUGUGCAUUGGAGCCAACUAAUAUUGAUACACUGUGGGUCCAUGUCAUAUGUGAGUGGUUUCGGCCGGAUGUUGCUUUUUAAGCGGACAAAAGAUGGAACCUGCAGUCGGGUUUUUAAGCAUUCCACUGGAUUGACAAAACAAUCAUAAUAAAACAUCUCACUGAAAUGUCGACCGAAGUCAUAAUUUGUCGUGUUUUUUGGUAGUUAAUUGUAGAGAUGUGGAAUUUGCAAACAAGUUCACGUUUCUUGCACACAAUGUUGCAAAUACGCCACAUACUUCCAUGCUAUGUGUGCUUCAUGUGCUAGCUACGGUGUCGAGUUGCAUUCGUCUAAGAAAGGUGGGACAUAUCAAACUAAAUGGUCAACAUAUUGUGCUAUGCACAGAACCCCUGCAGAAAAUGUAAUAUUUCUUCAUCUUUAGAAUUGAAUCAAUAGCAGAAGAGAAGUGCUACUAGAACACGCGAGAGUGCAUUUAGGAGUGCCAGCUGAUGACCUUAUCAAUGCUGCCAAGGGUUCUUCAAACAACUAUGCUAUUAAGGAGGAUGAGAUCAGAAGGGUUGCCAAGGCCAACGUUAAAGAAGAAGAAUUAAUGUCAAAGUACUCGGUUUUGGUUGCUUCUUGCUGGGCCAACAAGUUACCGUUGCAAUUGCCAUUAGCCUCUCUUCUCGCACACUGGGUACUCAUAAAAUUAUCCAUACAUAAGACCUUUAUCUCCCUCCUGUCUUGCGGGUGAAGAAGGUCCACUGAAGAAACCAAAUGCUUAAAACAUUCAGGUUUAUAAACCGUGUUAGGGCACAAACUUUUCGGCCACCUACAAAUCGUCGUCUACUCGCUAUACUUGGCUACCGGGUUGCCAAAAUGUAAGUUUUUUUUUGUUUUUGUUUUAGCAAAAUGUGUAAAAUUUAUGCAGAAACAGGAGAUGAUCCGACUAAGUGGUCGCACUACCCAUCGACUUUGACUUUUGAAAUUUGUGUUUGUUUUGUUAUUGGGCAGUGAUUGCAUUAUAUAGGUAUGUCCCGUGAGAUUAAAGAUUUGGUAAUGAUAGUGAAAAUGAAGGCCACGGGGGAUGAAUAAUUAUUAGGGGUGAGCAAAAGGCGGUUCAGUUCGGUUAGCGUUUUAAUGGUAACCAAAACCGAUUCUCAAUUAUAGUUUUGGUUAAUGCCGACUAUCCUAGGAUGGGCAAGAAGAAGGAGUUUGAAGAUGAUAUAUGAUGUG